rnacentral:siRNA from 1 species
CCAUUGUCACGCUCUUGGCAAU